rnacentral:rRNA from 1 species
UACGGAGGGGGCUAGCGUUGUUCGGAAUUACUGGGCGUAAAGCGCGCGUAGGCGGAUCUGCAAGUCGGGGGUGAAAUCCCGAGGCUCAACCUCGGAACUGCCUUCGAUACUGCGGGUCUCGAGUCCGGGAGAGGAUAGGGGAAUUCCUGGUGUAGCGGUGAAAUGCGUAGAUAUCAGGAGGAACACCGGUGGCGAAGGCGCCUAUCUGGCCCGAUACUGACGCUGAGGCGCGAAAGCUAGGGGAGCAAACGGG